UGUUUGAUGUGCUGAAAUGUCUAUGUUAUUUUUUACAUUCUUUGAUUGGGAGGUAACUUGCACUACUAUGAACAUCUCAUUCGUGGUGUGACUGUAGCACAUUUUGCAUCAGAAAACAACUAUUUUCUUGAUUUACAUGUAUGUCAUUGCUUAACACAGGCAUAAUAGAAAAACUUGGUCUAAGUUUAUCCACAAGGAGGGAGGCAGAGCAGAGACAAACGACACAUUCCGUCAUGCAUUUCCACCCCCUUCUAUCCAAUACCGCGGAGAGCUUGAGAAGUACUGUCACUGGGGCAAUGAAGUGAAGCUCUAUCGACACGAUGCAAACAAAGCUCUCAAGCACAUGAAGAGCAUCGACAGUAAAGUGCUGCGGGACAUAAGCUACGACAAGAUGCAGCUACUCCAACAAAAGUGUGAAACUCUUAAGCAUCAGCAGAAAGAAAAGGACAACCUAAUAGACUAUUUUAGCAACAGCUGGAGCCAUAGCCUCAGUGGAGAUCACAUGGCAGCAAAGGAGCUUUACCGUAUAAUAGAUAGCAACUUCACGGCUGGAUCAACAUGCAAAGACAAUGAUCUGAAUCAUAUAUUGUCGCAGGUAAGAUAUGUUGCUGAUUGUCUCACUAAUACAGCCACGCAAUCAGAGUAUGAACUCCAACAAACAAACAAGUACUACUAGAGCCUGGAUGAUGAUGUUAAAGGAAUUUCUGUUAUGAAAAAUGAAAACAUUCAAUAACUCAAUACCUUCCUAUUGCUUUG